GGUUAAGCGACUAAGCGUACACGGUGGAUGCCCUGGCAGUCAGAGGCGAUGAAGGACGUGCUAAUCUGCGAUAAGCGUCGGUAAGGUGAUAUGAACCGUUAUAACCGGCGAUUUCCGAAUGGGGAAACCCAGUGUGAUUCGUCACACUAUCAUUAACUGAAUCCAUAGGUUAAUGAGGCGAACCGGGGGAACUGAAACAUCUAAGUACCCCGAGGAAAAGAAAUCAACCGAGAUUCCCCCAGUAGCGGCGAGCGAACGGGGAGGAGCCCAGAGCCUGAAUCAGUGUGUGUGUUAGUGGAAGCGUCUGGAAAGGCGCGCGAUACAGGGUGACAGCCCCGUACACAAAAAUGCACAUGCUGUGAGCUCGAUGAGUAGGGCGGGACACGUGGUAUCCUGUCUGAAUAUGGGGGGACCAUCCUCCAAGGCUAAAUACUCCUGACUGACCGAUAGUGAACCAGUACCGUGAGGGAAAGGCGAAAAGAACCCCGGCGAGGGGAGUGAAAAAGAACCUGAAACCGUGUACGUACAAGCAGUGGGAGCCUCUUUUAUGGGGUGACUGCGUACCUUUUGUAUAAUGGGUCAGCGACUUAUAUUCUGUAGCAAGGUUAACCGAAUAGGGGAGCCGAAGGGAAACCGAGUCUUAACUGGGCGUUAAGUUGCAGGGUAUAGACCCGAAACCCGGUGAUCUAGCCAUGGGCAGGUUGAAGGUUGGGUAACACUAACUGGAGGACCGAACCGACUAAUGUUGAAAAAUUAGCGGAUGACUUGUGGCUGGGGGUGAAAGGCCAAUCAAACCGGGAGAUAGCUGGUUCUCCCCGAAAGCUAUUUAGGUAGCGCCUCGUGAAUUCAUCUCCGGGGGUAGAGCACUGUUUCGGCAAGGGGGUCAUCCCGACUUACCAACCCGAUGCAAACUGCGAAUACCGGAGAAUGUUAUCACGGGAGACACACGGCGGGUGCUAACGUCCGUCGUGAAGAGGGAAACAACCCAGACCGCCAGCUAAGGUCCCAAAGUCAUGGUUAAGUGGGAAACGAUGUGGGAAGGCCCAGACAGCCAGGAUGUUGGCUUAGAAGCAGCCAUCAUUUAAAGAAAGCGUAAUAGCUCACUGGUCGAGUCGGCCUGCGCGGAAGAUGUAACGGGGCUAAACCAUGCACCGAAGCUGCGGCAGCGACACUAUGUGUUGUUGGGUAGGGGAGCGUUCUGUAAGCCUGUGAAGGUGUACUGUGAGGUAUGCUGGAGGUAUCAGAAGUGCGAAUGCUGACAUAAGUAACGAUAAAGCGGGUGAAAAGCCCGCUCGCCGGAAGACCAAGGGUUCCUGUCCAACGUUAAUCGGGGCAGGGUGAGUCGACCCCUAAGGCGAGGCCGAAAGGCGUAGUCGAUGGGAAACAGGUUAAUAUUCCUGUACUUGGUGUUACUGCGAAGGGGGGACGGAGAAGGCUAUGUUGGCCGGGCGACGGUUGUCCCGGUUUAAGCGUGUAGGCUGGUUUUCCAGGCAAAUCCGGAAAAUCAAGGCUGAGGCGUGAUGACGAGGCACUACGGUGCUGAAGCAACAAAUGCCCUGCUUCCAGGAAAAGCCUCUAAGCAUCAGGUAACAUCAAAUCGUACCCCAAACCGACACAGGUGGUCAGGUAGAGAAUACCAAGGCGCUUGAGAGAACUCGGGUGAAGGAACUAGGCAAAAUGGUGCCGUAACUUCGGGAGAAGGCACGCUGAUAUGUAGGUGAAGUCCCUUGCGGAUGGAGCUGAAAUCAGUCGAAGAUACCAGCUGGCUGCAACUGUUUAUUAAAAACACAGCACUGUGCAAACACGAAAGUGGACGUAUACGGUGUGACGCCUGCCCGGUGCCGGAAGGUUAAUUGAUGGGGUCAGCGCAAGCGAAGCUCUUGAUCGAAGCCCCGGUAAACGGCGGCCGUAACUAUAACGGUCCUAAGGUAGCGAAAUUCCUUGUCGGGUAAGUUCCGACCUGCACGAAUGGCGUAAUGAUGGCCAGGCUGUCUCCACCCGAGACUCAGUGAAAUUGAACUCGCUGUGAAGAUGCAGUGUACCCGCGGCAAGACGGAAAGACCCCGUGAACCUUUACUAUAGCUUGACACUGAACAUUGAGCCUUGAUGUGUAGGAUAGGUGGGAGGCUUUGAAGUGUGGACGCCAGUCUGCAUGGAGCCGACCUUGAAAUACCACCCUUUAAUGUUUGAUGUUCUAACGUGGACCCGUGAUCCGGGUUGCGGACAGUGUCUGGUGGGUAGUUUGACUGGGGCGGUCUCCUCCUAAAGAGUAACGGAGGAGCACGAAGGUUGGCUAAUCCUGGUCGGACAUCAGGAGGUUAGUGCAAUGGCAUAAGCCAGCUUGACUGCGAGCGUGACGGCGCGAGCAGGUGCGAAAGCAGGUCAUAGUGAUCCGGUGGUUCUGAAUGGAAGGGCCAUCGCUCAACGGAUAAAAGGUACUCCGGGGAUAACAGGCUGAUACCGCCCAAGAGUUCAUAUCGACGGCGGUGUUUGGCACCUCGAUGUCGGCUCAUCACAUCCUGGGGCUGAAGUAGGUCCCAAGGGUAUGGCUGUUCGCCAUUUAAAGUGGUACGCGAGCUGGGUUUAGAACGUCGUGAGACAGUUCGGUCCCUAUCUGCCGUGGGCGCUGGAGAACUGAGGGGGGCUGCUCCUAGUACGAGAGGACCGGAGUGGACGCAUCACUGGUGUUCGGGUUGUCAUGCCAAUGGCACUGCCCGGUAGCUAAAUGCGGAAGAGAUAAGUGCUGAAAGCAUCUAAGCACGAAACUUGCCCCGAGAUGAGUUCUCCCUGACUCCUUGAGAGUCCUGAAGGAACGUUGAAGACGACGACGUUGAUAGGCCGGGUGUGUAAGCGCAGCGAUGCGUUGAGCUAACCGGUACUAAUGAACCGUGAGGCUUAACCUU
rnacentral:rRNA from 1 species